rnacentral:rRNA from 1 species
AUUGAACGCUGGCGGCAGGCCUAACACAUGCAAGUCGAGCGGAUGAAGGGAGCUUGCUCCUGGAUUCAGCGGCGGACGGGUGAGUAAUGCCUAGGAAUCUGCCUGGUAGUGGGGGAUAACGUCCGGAAACGGGCGCUAAUACCGCAUACGUCCUGAGGGAGAAAGUGGGGGAUCUUCGGACCUCACGCUAUCAGAUGAGCCUAGGUCGGAUUAGCUAGUUGGUGGGGUAAAGGCCUACCAAGGCGACGAUCCGUAACUGGUCUGAGAGGAUGAUCAGUCAAACUGGAACUGAGAAACGGUCCAAACUCCUACGGAAGCAGCAGUGGGGAAUAUUGGACAAUGGGCGAAAGCCUGAUCCAGCCAUGCCGCGUGUGUGAAGAAGGUCUUCGGAUUGUAAAGCACUUUAAGUUGGGAGGAAGGGCAGUAAGUUAAUACCUUGCUGUUUUGACGUUACCAACAGAAUAAGCACCGGCUAACUUCGUG